GGAUUCGGGAGAGACUGCACUGGCAAGCCAGGAGGCAGCGCCGAAGGGGAAGCGAAGAACUCUCAGGUAAAAGGACCGGA
rnacentral:ncRNA from 1 species